rnacentral:lncRNA from 1 species
AUGAAGCUAGGUAUAGCAUGUUAUGUUUGUUUUUUUCUUAAAUUUAUAUGUAAAAUACACAACAUGUUUACAAUGAAAAUUCUCUUUAAUGUUUUAGUGUUAUUACAGAUCAAAAUGACAGAUCAAAACAAAGAGCAGUGUGGUGUUGCCAAGAAUCUAAAGAGAGACACUGAAACUGCCGCUGAUAAUUUGAGCCUCGAGACAAACAAAGUCACAAACCCACAGACACAAAAAGAUAAAGGUGAACCCUCGUUUCACACAUUACACUCUACUUUCAUUGACAACAAUACUCUGCAGCCUCUAUAUGAUUCCGUAGAUUCAGGAGAAUGCAGCUUCAUGGUGCAAGCUACUCUGUCAGAUCCAGCUUUAACUCCUCAGGAAUGCCAAUAUUCUGCAAUUAAGUGGUGAAGUAUGGGAUUCUUUUGUUUUUUGGUUGUUGUUUCUUUUUUUACUCCAUUUCAUGACUGUAAACCCAAAGAAAGAUUUCCUUAUUUUUUUUCUAAAUGGAUGAAAAUGAUGUGAUUCUGUUGGCUUCAUUGUGUGCUGGCCUACAGCUUGCUAUGCAACGGUUCGCAGCAGAGUGUGAAGCGGUGGGAAUGAGAAUCAGCACCUCCAAAUCUGAGGCCAUGGUCCUCAGCCGGAAAAGGGUGGAGUACCCACUCUGGGUUAGGGAUGAGUUCUUGCCCCAAGUGAAGGAGUUUAAGUAUCUUGGGGUCUUGUUCACGAAUGACGAGAGAAGGGAGUGUGAGAUCAAAAGAAGGAUUGGUGCAGCGGCCGCAGUGAUGCGGCUGCCUCAAGUACAUUGAGUACUACUAAAUUUAACAGCUUAAGUGCAUUUCUUUCAGUUCAACAGUAUCUUCUUGGCCUCUGCUACACACUAUGCUGUUAAUAUUCAACAAAUAUACUGAUUAUAUGAAUAAAUAAAUAUUUUUAAAAAUAUAUUAAAUGCAAAGACAACAUGUACUUUUAAAUAUCUGAAUGACAUAUUUGAUGGAUUAUACUGUCAACUGCUGAAACUCUAAAGUGAAAUAAAACAAAAACCAAAGAACAGAUGGGUCAAAAGCAUAUUUGGAAGUAAUUUGUCACAUGAAUCAUGUCUUUGUCACCACCUAGUGGUAGGAAACAUAUUUGUUGAACACAGAUGAAUCUUGUACAACAAAACAUGACUUAGUUCUGGUUUAGCUCUGGUUAUUAAAAAUACUAAUCCUCUUUUCUCCCUCUUUACAGAUCAGUGAAAGGAGUGUCAGCUCAAUCAAGGAGAUUGUGCAACCCGUUUACUGUGCUGUUUCAUUUGCUAAGACUGGGUCACAUUUCUUAAAUAUUCAUCUCGGGGUACCUUUUCAGUCUGUGUAUAUUUGGAAUAAGACGAGUUGAGUUAAAUGUGAGUAAAAUUCAAAAACAUGCUUUACAACAUAUUUUUUUAGCUUGGUUGUGUUAUUGUCAUGGUCCCUGCGGAGGGAUAGAGUUUUGUGUGCGAGGGAUACCCUGUGAGGAGUGAGGGGAGCGGAGCGUGUGUGGAGAUCUUGUAUUUCCCUGACCCUGUGGACCCCUGGAACCCUGGACCCCUGGCCUUUCCCCCCCACAUAUAUAUAGUGCACCCGGUGUGGAUUAAUAAAGAACUGUUUAACUGUAUCUCUCAGUGUGCGCCUGAAUCCGUCCUGCCUGUCUUGACAGUUACAGUGAAAAUAUUGUGUUGUAAUGCAAACAAAUGAAAUUCAAAAAAAUGAUGCAAUAAUUAAUUAUCAUGUAGCCACAAGAUAAUUCGUUUGAUGUAAUGUAAAUAAAUGUGGAAUCGCUUAACAAAUUUUUUGUCAGGAUUUCUCAUUUGUCAUGAUUUAAUGUUGCAGUCUUUGCUUUGUUUCAUGAUUUCUACAAAAGAAAAUUAAAAUUAACUUAUAAAUUUCAUUUCCAGAUACAAAUUCUGUUUACAUAUCAUACCCCUUCUUUCUCUUGUGAAAAGAGAUGUAAUUAAAUGAUAAUG